rnacentral:rRNA from 1 species
AAUAGAUACCCAGGUAGUCCACGCCGUAAACGAUGAGUGCUAGGUGUUAGGGGGUCCAACCCUUAGUGCCGAAGUUAACACAUUAAGCACUCCGCCUGGGGAGUACGGUCGCAAGACUGAAACUCAAAGGAAUUGACGGGGGCCCGCACAAGCGGUGGAGCAUGUGGUUUAAUUCGAAGCAACGCGAAGAACCUUACCAGGGCUUGACAUCCCUCUGACCGUUCUAGAGAUAGAGCUUCCCUUUGGGGCAGAGGUGACAGGUGGUGCAUGGUUGUCGUCAGCUCGUGUCGUGAGAUGUUGGGUUAAGUCCCGCAACGAGCGCAACCCUUGUCCUUAGUUGCCAGCAUUCAGUUGGGCACUCUAGGGAGACUGCCGGUGACAAACCGGAGGAAGGUGGGGAUGACGUCAAAUCAUCAUGCCCCUUAUGUCCUGGGCUACACACGUGCUACAAUGGCUGGUACAAAGGGUAGCGAAGCAGUGAUGUGGAGCCAAUCCCAAAAAGCCAGUCACAGUUCGGAUUGUAGGCUGC